rnacentral:rRNA from 1 species
GCAAAUUUGAUUAAUGCUACUUCUAUUAGUUUGUAAUAAUUAGAAAAGUCUAAAAACGAAACCCUUUAUUUUGAAAAACAAAAGGCAAUGAAUCAGGUCCGGCAGUUGGUUUUCCAACAAGCCGCACAAGGAGCUCUAGGAACUUCGUACAGUUUAUCUCUACAGCAGUUAUCCUAUAUAAUGAUAUAUAUAUUUUUGGUCGCUACUCUACUAACCGACCAGUCAGAAAGGAUAUGA